UUCGUAAUUGAAACUCAAUAAAAAAAGUUAAAGGAUAUAUAGAAAAAUGGCAGACAAAUCCAAUAACGAACCAAAGAGGACAGUGGAAGUACGUGGGGAGCAUCAUGGUCGUCAUGGAGCAAGUGCAAGUGUAACUUAUACUCACCCUGUUGGUAAAAAUGUUGAUGUUUACGGUCAAGUUUCCAAGCAAUUCAAAUAUAACGACAAUAGUGGACACGUUGGUGUUAGAUAUAAAUUUUAAAUAACACAUUUUCAAAAUUACUCUUACUUUUAGUUUUAAUUAAAUCUGUACAUACCAAUAAAAUACAAAAAUAAAAUAUUUUAAAACAAUGUAAUUUA